GGGUCCUGGGCGUACGUGGUUGGUUGACGCGUGUCGGGAUCGAUGGCGCCGCCACCGCCAGCCAGCAGGCCGGCCGCUUCGGCGCGUGGGCAGGUCGGGCCGCCGCCGGCCCCCAUCGGCGUGGUGGGGCGGCAGUUGGUGACGAGAGGACGAGAAGGCGACGAUCGAGCAAGGAACAAGAACGAGAUGCAAUCGCUAAAGCGUCGACGCGGUGACGGUGACAAAGCGUCUGGAGGAGCGCCGCCUCUACCUCAUCUUUGAUGACUGGCCGUGGCCCCAGCUCGGCCGCGCGGGCGCGGGGCUGCAGCGCGGGGGCUCGGCCUCAGGCGGCGCGGGCCCAGCCUCCCGACGGCGUGGGGGCGCGGCGCCAGCGGCCAGUGGCGGGGCAACCCCAGGCGCCCCACCCGCCGCCGCUGCCAGCCCGCACUCCGGGUCGAGACAGGCGGCGACCGGCGACCCCAGCCUCGCGGCUCCUGCGCCCCGCUCCUCUCCAGCGUCGAUUUGUAAUUUUGUGCGGCUGAUUAUGCCAAUUUUUUGCUAAAAUCCUUCCAAACUUUUCUAAAGAUCCUGCUGUUGAAAUGCAGAGCUUGCUCCUCUCGCCAUGCCCUACGCCUCCAGCGGCCUAGAGAAGUGAUGCCCGUCGAGGUCCGGCUUGCAGACUGGGCGACGGCGCGAGUACCCGUUCCGGCUUUCAGCUUCACGACAUGCUACCUUGAUGGUCGCUAUGUACUGUGAGUUCUUGUUGUUCCUCUCUGUUCAUUCAUCUCCAACACAACGUGCACAUACACCUGCUUUUGCCAUCCAAUUAGGUUUGGUCAUCCGAUUCUAUUUAAGUCCAAACCUCCCAUACCCUCUAACCUGCACAGACCACUUCGAUUGGUAUCCUAUUAUUGGCAACCUGCGCUGUUGCAGUGCCAGGUCCAGGUGAAAAGAAGAAAUGGCUGCUGAGAUACGUCAGUGCAGAUUUAGAGGCAGGCAAUGUCAGAAGAUAGAGGAGUGGCAGAAGUAGAGCAAACUACAUCCGGUGGCAAAGAUGUUGAUACCCGACCCGAACCUGAGUACUUCAAAUGCAUAAGUUGUUCUGAGAAACAUGCAUAUCAGUGAUACUCAUUUCACUGGUUUUAGAAGGUUCAACAUGUGACUCCCAUCCCAAGAUAUAUGAUUUUAAGACUGCGAGAAUGUUGGUUCCUACUAUGACUGCGUCCACACCAACAAAAUCAUGGACACUUGCGAGCCACGGGUUCACAGGAGAGUCCCUCCUUGCCUCCACGACAACUGAUCAGCUUUGGCUUUGGUUACUGCUGAUUCUGACAGCAACGGCAUCUAUAGAAGAACAAAGUCAGCAAAGUUAAGUUUAGCCUCUACCCAAACCCUCAUCAUCAUUCAUGGUAACCACGCAUCUCAAAUUGCUAAGCCUGUGUUGUCCUAUGCCUAAAAGCUACUUAUCCUCAUCUCUAUAAAUUGUGCACAGUUUCACAUUCCUUUACAAGUAACUACUAUUAGUCACAAUUACAACAACUGAACUUCUUGAUGAUCCAGAAGUGGUUGCAAAACCUUUUGAAGAUCAAAUUAUACAUAAUAGUAGACUUUACUCUGUCCCACACCUACUUUUAUACUUCAUAGACAACUUCAACUCUUUCUUUUCUCUGCCGUUUAAGUUUCAGCUUCAAAUUUUACUGGACGCUCACUUUUAGAUGUUCUAUAUAUAAUGAGCUCUCAUAUUAAAGUGAUGUGUGUAUUUUCAUUACUUGUACUAAUUUUCUUAUUUCAUUACGUCUACGGAUAAAUCGUUUUUUGCAACCAUCUUCCAGGUAGUGAAGGCGUGAAGCAACCAACACCACAUGGGCAAGCACUACAAUCAUUUCAAUUAUAGACCUGUAUGGAUCCAACUACCCUCAAACUUAGCAAUCUUGUACAUUAUCUGCCCCUGUUCUUGCUCUACUAGGCUACUACUGUGGAGGAGCAUAAUAUGUAUUGUGUGUGCUGACUUGUGCUUAUCUAAAUAUGU